rnacentral:lncRNA from 1 species
GCUCCACCGACGCUCGCAUCUUCGACGGCUAGCGCACAUCCGGAGCGAGGGUGGCUCGUAGGCGCUCGCAUCUCCAGCUAUCGAGCACGCCGGAGGCCAUGCCGUUGUGGCGCUCGUGAAGCUGAAACUAGCAUAGCGGGUAAGGUCAAAAGGAGGGCGUCCCAUUGCGAUUGCGAUGACCACGAAGCUCUUAUCCGAUCUUAACCCACCCCUCCCGAUGGGAAUAAAUCUGUGGGAAAUGAGGUCCGCAUUUUCCUUUCCCUAUCCCUUCUUAUUUCCUUUUCCCAUGAGACAAACUUGGAUAAGAUUUCCAUCCUUCCCCAUUUCUCAUUCCCUCCCUCCAUAUCCCACAAUCCAAAUGCCACCUAGGGACAAUUUUAUCCUGAG